rnacentral:lncRNA from 1 species
CCGAAUGGAAGCGUUAUCUUUCACGCAGCUGAUGCGUAUGAGUCAUCUGUCUCUGUUCGUGUUAGGCGGUCUGUCGCGCCCGCUGCGUUUGAUGUUCAUUAAGACCAUGAAGUAACGUCAAGCUCUAGACGUUAAAUUAAGCACUUGUUGGGAGGUAACCCAACCGUUUUUUUGUUUUGUUUUCUUUCUUUUAGUUUCUUUUGUUUCUUUAUUUUCUUUGUUUUCUUUGUUUUGGGGUUUUUAGUGCAGUGUUGAGCUUGGAAGAUGCGGAAACUCGCGCCUUAUUCAUACCAUCA